GGAAUAUAAGAACUCGUCUCUUAAUUUUUAACUAAAAAAUUUAAGAACCGAUUUUUAAAUAAGAGUUUUAAGAACUGGUUCUUAAUUUUUUUUAAAAGUUAAGAGACGGGUUUUUAUAUUCG
rfam:Brassica oleracea var. oleracea cultivar TO1000 chromosome C6, whole genome shotgun sequence